rnacentral:snRNA from 1 species
AUCCUUACCUGGCAGGGGAGCCACCACUAUCAGGAAGGUGGUUUUCCCAGGGCGAGGCUCACCCAUUGCACUGUGGAUGUGCUGACCCCUGCGGUUUCCCCAAAUGCGGGGAAACUCGACUGCAUAAUUUGUGGUAGUGGGGGACUGCGUUCAAGCUCUCUCCUG